CAAAUUUCAAGUUUGAAGCCAAAAAUAUAUAAUCAAAUCUCAAAUCUCAAACACAAUUACACACAAAAUUUCAUUUCUCCCCAAAUCAAAAACUCAAACCCUCUUUCUUUUCUCUCAACUUCUCACAAACUUCAUCAAGAAUCUUCAUCACAAAUUCAAACAAACUCAUACAAAACUCAUCAAUUCUUCUUUUCUACCAUCAAGAAUUCCGAAAGAAAUCUCUCUUUCACCCUUGUGCUGCUGUUCCACCACUACCAGUCAACCAUUCUGACUCUGUCUCAUCGUCGGAAGUCCAGUCAGAGCCACCACGAGCAGUCCACGGGUUUCCUCGCCAUUUUCAUGCUCUUUUCGUAUGUUGUCGCGUUGAUUUUUGAUGGUACUUCUUGA